AUGUGCCUCCUCGAGUCCAGCGGCUGGAGUCCACAUGACCAGUUUCCCCCCUUCGUGUGGGUGAGGCAAGGAGAUGAACAGAUCCGGCAAGCGCUUACAGAGAACGAGGCCAACGUUGUCGCUGCCAGCGGAGUCCACGCCAUCGUCUACCUCAUCUUGUCUUUCUGCGGUACGGCAAAACAAAUCACGCUCAGUUCAUUUCUGUACCCGCUUUUGUUCCAGUCAUUUUUGGUUUCCAGGUUGAUUCACUUUCCUAUAGUUUCUACAUUUGUAUCAUUUAUUUCUGAAGUAAUAGAGUAG
rnacentral:rRNA from 1 species